rnacentral:rRNA from 1 species
AUUGAACGCUGGCGGCAUGCCUUACACAUGCAAGUCGAACGGGCUUUUGGGGCUUGCUCCAAAAGUUAGUGGCGAACGGGUGAGUAAUAUAUCGGAACGUGCCCUGGAGUGGGGGACAACCAGUCGAAAGAUUGGCUAAUACCGCAUACGAUCCAAGGAUGAAAGUGGGGGACCUUCGGGCCUCAUGCUCCUGGAGCGGCCGAUAUCUGAUUAGCUAGUUGGUGGGGUAAAGGCCCACCAAGGCGACGAUCAGUAGCUGGUCUGAGAGGACGAUCAGCCACACUGGGACUGAGACACGGCCCAGACUCCUACGGGAGGCAGCAGUGGGGAACUUUGGACAAUGGGGGAAACCCUGAUCCAGCAAUGCCGCGUGAGUGAAGAAGGCCUUCGGGUUGUAAAGCUCUUUUGUCAGGGAAGAAACGGUGGGGGCUAAUAUCCUCUGCUAAUGACGGUACCUGAAGAAUAAGCACCGGCUAACUACGUGCCAGCCGCCGCAGUAA